rnacentral:rRNA from 1 species
GUUACAGCCGCCGCGGUAAUACGGAGGGUGCAAGCGUUAAUCGGAAUUACUGGGCGUAAAGCGUGCGUAGGCGGUUGUUUAAGUCAGAUGUGAAAGCCCCGGGCUUAACCUGGGAACUGCAUUUGAUACUGGGCAACUAGAGUUUAGUAGAGGGGAGUGGAAUUUCAGGUGUAGCGGUGAAAUGCGUAGAGAUCUGAAGGAACACCAGUGGCGAAGGCGGCUCCCUGGACUAAAACUGACGCUGAGGUACGAAAGCGUGGGUAGCAAACAGGAUUAGAUACCCGGGUAGUCC